rnacentral:misc_RNA from 1 species
GAACGCACAUUGCGCCCAAUGGUAUUCCGUUGGGCAUACCUGUUUGAGUAUCAGAAUCCUUUCAAUUAUCAAACUUUUAUAUAUAGAGAUGUAUGUAAAGAUGUUUGGAAUAAAAGUUGAGAAAAGUAGUAUUAAUAUUACUUUCUUAAAAACCAGAAAUAUUAUGUUUUGAUUUUUCUUCACCUCAUUUUGUAUGAAAUUUAACAAAUGAGUAUGAGUAAAAAUAACAAUACUUUGGAUGACCUCAAAUCAGGUAGGGAUACCCGCUGAACUUA